UGUAAUUUCUGCAUGCCAUCUUACCAGAUUUAAACUGAUGAUAUAUAAUCCGGAAAAAUCAAUAAUCCGGAAUUGCCGAAGUCCCGACAAGUCCAGAUCAACGACUUUUGACUGUAUUGUAUAUAUUUCUGAGUUUUAUCUUGCAUUUAUGUAUGUGAGAAAUUUCUUUGUGCCUAUUUUUCUUGUAGUUCAUUGUACUUUAUUUCAUUACUGAACUGCUCUGCAUUUUUUCAUCCAGUAAUGGCAUGGUUUUCUUCUCAACAUUCUGGCAUAUCUUCUGUACACAUUUUAGCACUUUUGUUUUCCUCUUCCCAUUUACCUUGUAUUAUUCAAGGCUCAUGGCCCCCCACUUUCUUUUCUCAUUUUCUGACUUACUUUUGGGAAUGCAUUUGCAGCAAUAUCUAUGUGAAGUGCUGUAAUAGCAUAAUAUUAUUGAGGUGGAUAUGUUGCCCUUUGCCGAAUAAUUUCAGUAAUAUUUGAGUAGAUAGAUGAAGUGAUGCCGUUGAAACUGUCAAAUCAAUGAUGUGGAUUUCAUUCCUCCAAACAACACGUGUGGAGAUUCAUCUGCUAAAUCUAAUAGCAAUGUAGGGGAGAGUCUUCGAAAAAACACUGCGACAGGGGAAGUGCACACUUCCUACCCAAGACAAGAAGCAGUUGAUGAAAUUACCCAAGAUUCUAACUCGAGCUUGUGUCUUGGAUAGAUUUGCCAAUGAUAUAAAUGAGAUAUC